GUGCUCACUUCAGCAGCACAUAUACUAAAACUGGAACAAUACAGAGAAGAUUAGCAUGGUCCCUGCACAAGAAUGACACACAAAUCCGUGAAACGUUCCGUAUUUAA
ensembl:snRNA U6 U6 spliceosomal RNA